UACGGAGGGUCCGAGCGUUAAUCGGAAUUACUGGGCGUAAAGCGUGCGUAGGCGGCCUGUUAAGUCAGAUGUGAAAGCCCCGGGCUUAACCUGGGAACUGCAUCUGAUACUGGGAGGCUAGAAUGUGGGAGAGGAGAGUGGAAUUUCCGGUGUAGCGGUGAAAUGCAUAGGGAUCGGAAGGAACACCAGUGGCGAAGGCGGCUCUCUGGACCAACAUUGACGCUGAGGCACGAAAGCGUGGGUAGCAAACAGG
rnacentral:rRNA from 1 species